rnacentral:rRNA from 1 species
AGUGAACGCUGGCGGCGUGCUUAACACAUGCAAGUCGAACGAGAACGGGUUAUAGCUUGCUAUAAUUGUCAGCUAAGUGGCGCACGGGUGAGUAAUGUAUAGGUAAUAUGCCUCUUACUAAGGGAUAACAAUUGGAAACGAUUGCUAAUACCUUAUACUCCUUAUUAACUAAAGUUAGUAAGGGAAAGAUUUAUUGGUAAGAGAUUAGCCUGUAUUGUAUCAGUUGGUUGGUGGGGUAAUGGCCUACCAAGACUAUGACGCAUAACUGGUUUGAGAGGAUGAUCAGUCACACUGGAACUGAGACACGGUCCAGACUCCGUACGGGAGGCAGCAGGUGGGGAAUAUUGCACAAUGGACGAAAGUCUGAUGCAGCAACGCCGCGUGGAGGAUGACACAUUUCGGUGCGUAAACUCCUUUUAUAUAAGAAGAUAAUGACGGUAUUAUAUGAAUAAGCACCGGCUAACUCCGUG